rnacentral:rRNA from 1 species
GACGAACGCUGGCGGCGUGCUUAACACAUGCAAGUGGGGCGACGAACCAGGCUUCGGCCUGGGGCAAAGCCGCGAACGGGUGAGUAACACGUGGGUAACCUGCCCCGAAGACUGGGACAACCCGGGGAAACCCGGGCUAAUACCGGAUGUGGUCAUCGUUCACAAGGACGAUGAGCAAAGGAAGCUUCGGCCUCCGCUUCGGGAUGGGCCCGCGGCCCAUUAGCUUGUUGGUGAGGUAACGGCUCACCAAGGCUUUGACGGGUAGCUGGUCUGAGAGGACGACCAGUCACACUGGAACUGAGACACGGUCCAGACACCUACGGGUGGCAGCAGUCGAGAAUUUUUCUCAAUGGGGGAAACCCUGAAGGAGCGACGCCGCGUGGAGGAUGAAGGCUUUCGGGUUGUAACUACUGUCAUUUGAGAAC